AUUGAACGCUGGCGGCAUGCCUAACACAUGCAAGUCGAACGGGGCAGCAAUGCCUAGUGGCGGACGGGUGAGGAAUACGUAGGAAUCUGCCCUUAAGUGGGGGAUAACCAGGGGAAACCCUGACUAAUACCGCAUGAUCUCUUCGGAGCAAAGAGGGGGACCGCAAGGCCUCUCGCUUCUGGAUGAGCCUACGUCUGAUUAGCUAGUUGGUAGGGUAAAGGCCUACCAAGGCGACGAUCAGUAACUGGUCCGAGAGGAUGAUCAGUCACACCGGAACUGAGAAACGGUCCGGACUCGUACGGGAGGCAGCAGUGAGGAAUAUUGGACAAUGGGGGCAAACCUGAUCCAGCAAUGCCGCGUGCGUGAAGAAGGCCUUCGGGUUGUAAAGCACUUUAGCCUGGAAAGAAAAAACUUUGGUUAACACCCAAAGUCUUGACGGUACCAGGAGAAUAAGCACCGGCUAACUCUGUGCAGCCGCCGCCGUAACAC
rnacentral:rRNA from 1 species